rnacentral:rRNA from 1 species
AUUGAACGCUGGCGGCAUGCUUUACACAUGCAAGUCGAACGGUAACAGGGAGCUUGCUCCGCUGACGAGUGGCGAACGGGUGAGUAAUGCAUCGGAACGUACCCAGUCGUGGGGGAUAACGUAGCGAAAGUUACGCUAAUACCGCAUACGUCCUGAGGGAGAAAGCGGGGGACCGUAAGGCCUCGCGCGAUUGGAGCGGCCGAUGUCGGAUUAGCUAGUUGGUAGGGUAAAGGCCUACCAAGGCGACGAUCCGUAGCGGGUCUGAGAGGAUGAUCCGCCACACUGGGACUGAGACACGGCCCAGACUCCUACGGGAGGCAGCAGUGGGGAAUUUUGGACAAUGGGGGCAACCCUGAUCCAGCCAUGCCGCGUGAGUGAAGAAGGCCUGGUUGUAAGACUCUUCGU